UUUUUGGCUGGGCAGGACUGAGCCAAGGGUUGGAAGACAGGAUCGGGGGUGAGGAGGAGGGUGAGCCUCGGAUCUGUGCCAACUGAGGGAAGUGGCUUCCCAACGGCGGCGAGGAGCCCAGGCAGCCUGGCUGCUUCUCAGAUCAUCCAGGACCAGCUCGCCCUGCUAUGUGGCCCAGACAAACUGCAGAGCCCGUGUCCUGUUCUUGAAAGAGGACGGGAUUUCAGAGCUCAGAGAGGGCCAGGGGUGCCCAAGGCCAAGAAGAGGGCUAGUGAGCCCCUGGUCCCAGCAUCUCCCCUGCCUGGAGGACCUGGCUCCCAACCCCAUGCCACCCAGGAAGGCUCAGCUGGGGUCCAGAUGGGUGGCCAGUAGCACACGGGCUGCAGAUGUCAGGAGACAGAAAUUCGGCCGGGGGCAGACACCUGGAUUCCAUUAAUGCACAUCCGGGGAGCUGCCCUGCCUCAGGUCCACAGGGAAGCUACUGGGUGGGGGAGAAGGGAAACAGUUCAUCCUGGGGCCUUGGCGCUUAUUCAGUGUCCCGCUGGUUGUCCCUGCUCACCCCCAAGGUGGUCACCUCCUCUGAUUUUCUCAACUCUGAGCUCAAAUGCAUCUGCAGGCCUCAGGCAGCAGCAACUCCGCAAAGUGGGGCCCUCACUGUCCUGGGUCUCAAUUUCUGCUCCUCCUUAUGCAGCCACCGUGGCUUAUCACGGGUGACGGUAAUGGCCCCAGGAAAGCUCUAGCAGCUGUGUCACCUUGACCAAAAUCUGGGUGUCCAAGAGAGGGCCCCCGGCAGGUUGGCGGACAGCAAGAAAAGACAAGCCGUGUAGGAUGAGAGAGCAGGUGCUGCCCCUUCUCCCUGCCCACUGGCUCUCGGGACAGGGUCCGAAUUCUACUUGAAGUCCAGCCUGAGCUCUCUGACCCAUGCUAGUGAUCACCGAGUGUCUGGCCUCCUGCCUGGCUUCCUGGUGAGCUGAAGACACAGAGUGGGGAGCGGCAGGGGCCUGAGUCAGGGCCCACGGCUGGGAAGGGAGCAUAUGCCAGACUCCAAAAACGGGGCCGUGCACUGGGAGCUGGUACCACAUUUAUCAUCCACAUGGCACACCAGGCGGGACUCUCCAUGCGCACUUCGGUUUCCAGUGAGACUUAGCACACUCAGCUCCCUCUUGGGGACUCAGUUUCUCGAUCUGUGCAGCUGGGAGUUUGGCCUGUGUGGUUCCCAAGGUACCAGCUGUGCCAGCCCACAAGUUUCAGAGCUUUCCCAGCUCCCGUCCUGCCCGCGCCAGGGAGGAGCUCAGAGAACCCUUCAGAGGCAGCGAGCGGGAAGACCUCAGCCUCACUCACCUGCAGACGCGGGUCCAGUCAGCAGCGCCCAA